UUUAUUUCAAUUAAUUUCAAUUAACACAGAGAAGAAUUAAAAAAGGGAAGAGGAUUAGGGUUUACGUGUGACCCUUGGACCUGUUGUUCUCAGACUCUCUCCUGCUCCUCAUGGACGAACGGCGUGACGGUCGGAACAGCCUCCCUCUCCGGUGAGGUUUCAAUCGACGCCGUAAACCACCCGAAUCUCAUCAUCGGACCUGACACUCUCAUCUCUCUCCUCACGCAUCAGACGCAGCGGAGCAAAUGGAGAGCUCCACCUUCUCCGAUGAAGAGCAAAUCUCCGGCCACCAUCACUUUCGAAUCAAGUCCCUCACCCUCUCCGUCUCAAACUCAAACUCUCUUGUCUCUCAAUCAAACUCUCCGUCUCAAACUCGAACUCUCUCGAUCUCUUAUGUUAAGUUUUUUAUCCUUCUGAGUUGUUGUUCGUGAUUGUGGUGUGAUAUAUCGUUAUUCAAGCAGGUUGAAGAUUGAUGGAAGGUGUAAAGAAUCGCAAAUGAAUUUGAUUGAAUAAGCGAGUUUCUGGAGAUUGAAGGUUCAUCGAUGAGGAUGGACGGGACAAAGGUUAGACUCGGUGAUUGACGAAGGAUGAUGGAUGGAUCGUGAAUUGUUGCUGCAGAUGCAGAUUAGUUUUCUGCAGGUUCUUGGAUGAAGAACCGAAUUGAAGUUUGAAGAAGGAACUGAAUGAAUCUAACGUGAGUUUUCUGUUUAGUGUCGAGUUGAAUGUUAUGAGGAAGAUGAAUGAAGAUGAAGAUGCCAUAGAUACAGAGAUGAUGAAGAUGAUGAUGAUGAUGAAGGUUAUCGAGGUCGAAGAAGAAUAGAGAAGGUUUUACGAUUCAGUUAUGGUGAUUCCGAUGGAAAAGAGAGAGAGAAUUCGGGAAGAAGCUUGAGAGAGAGGUCCUCGAGUUUGUUACCAGGUAGUGAUGAAUGAAGAGCAAUGGUGAAGUUUUCUGUCAUGAGGUCAAGAUUGAAGGUGGAGGUAGCGUGAAGAUUGAAAAUGGAGGUUUUCUGAACUCAAAGAAGUGAAGAAGAUGAUUCUUGCCUGAAGGUUGUUACGUUAUGACGGUCUUUUUUCUAUUUGUUAUACUGAGCCUUGUAUUGGUUAAUUGUCCGGUUCAGGUUUUUUUUUAGUCCGCUGCAAGUUUCGGUUUACUUGGUCCAUGGCAGUUUGAUGCAAGUUUGGAUGAUUCACCUUUGUGUAGAGGUUGCAAGUUUGAAAACAAAGGCCAAGGUGCACAUUGGGAUUGAAGACGGAAUUUUAUUGAAGAUGUGAAGUCAAGCAAGCUUGGGCAUGAAUUUUAUUUGAGUGGCAAUGUGAAGCUUAGCGAAUGUAUGCUCCAAGAUAUUUUGAUGUAUUCUUUUUCUCUUUUUUUUUUGUAGUGUCUCAACAUGAAAGGGAAUAAUCUACCGUGUAACUUGUAACCUUUUAACAAAACGAUGGUGUUUGUAAGAUUUAACUUGGACAUUUGAAUGAAAACUCCCUUGACUUGAAUAUAA